AGGAGGCGCGUGGCUUCUGCAGCCCCGAAGGCUCCUUUUGUCCGCCCGCGGUGUGAGGAGUGCGUGCCGGGGGCUUUGUUCGGCCAGCAGCGCUCGCCCGUCCCUGCCCACGGCCUCGCCUCCUGUUCUGCACCGGGCUGGGCAGGGACGGUGGCGCCGUCUUGGUUUCGGGCUUGGAGGACAGUUGUUCAGGGGGAGGCGGUGCGGGCGGCGCAUUGCUUCCUUCUCCAGAGCGCGUCGAGCACCCAGACCGAGCACCCAGACCGCGGCUGAGUGUGCUCAGACCCCGAAGCUGGAACGAAGGCGGCGGGCAGGAAUUGGUGGGGAGGAGGAGAGUGGCUCGGGUGGUCAGUGAGUUUGAGAGACCUAGGUGGGUUUGGCCUCGACACCACUUGUAAGUUCAAGUUCGGGGUCUGGUCUCUAGCCCCGCGGCUAGAGUCAGUGCGUUGUACCUGGUACCCUCUCCCUAAGUGGCCCUGCCUGGGACGGGCUAGCAGUUCACCUCUGGUCUCCGUCACAAUGGGACAGAGCAGACAGAGCAGAUGGCAAGGCCUAAAACGAGCACCCGGUGUACCUAACCCUUUCCUUUCUCUCUGCUCUUGUCCGCUUUCCAGGUUAGCUUUAUACGUCUAUGAAUACUUACUGCAUGUAGGAGCACAGAAAUCUGCACAGACCUUCUUGUCCGAGAUUCGAUGGGAAAAAAACAUCACGCUGGGAGAGCCGCCUGGGUUUCUGCACUCGUGGUGGUGUGUAUUUUGGGACCUUUACUGUGCAGCUCCUGAAAGGAGAGACACUUGUGAACAUUCAAGUGAAGCGAAAGCCUUUCAUGAUUAUGAGGAGGAGUUCAGACUGAUCUGGAGGCUCACUGGUUUUGAGCAUAUUUGA
rnacentral:lncRNA from 1 species